rnacentral:rRNA from 1 species
AGCAGCAGCCACGGUAAAACGGAGGGGGCUAGCGUUGUUCGGAAUUACUGGGCGUAAAGCGCACGUAGGCGGACUGGAAAGUCAGAGGUGAAAUCCCAGGGCUCAACCUUGGAACUGCCUUUGAAACUAUCAGUCUGGAGUUCGAGAGAGGUGAGUGGAAUUCCGAGUGUAGAGGUGAAAUUCGUAGAUAUUCGGAGGAACACCAGUGGCGAAGGCGGCUCACUGGCUCGAUACUGACGCUGAGGUGCGAAAGCGUGGGGAGCAAACAGGAUUAGAUACCCCGGUAGUCCCUGUCUCUUAUAC